AAUGAAUAACAGAAAUAGAAAAUCUCAGUGCUUUUUACUGCAUAAGAAAAAAAUGUGAAAUCCCAUUUAAAAUGUUUCCCAUUAUUUAUAAAGGGAAUUUAUCAUAGAGGCUUGGCAGGUUUGAUGAUCAGUGUCAUAUCAAAGACAGCAUUUUAUAACCCAUUUCUCAAACAUCAUCUGUGAAAGUUAAGAACCUCCAAUGAGUUUCCCAUAGAGCUGCACGUGAUACCACACUCAGGCAGGUCAUGGGGUAUUAAAAAUACCUUAAUGCUAUUGUUUGACAUUUUGACAAAGGGAAAAAACCCACACUUUUGUAAGUUCAGCCUACUGUGAUAUUUUUCUCUAUCUUCCUUCUUCUUCAGAUACCUCCGUGGCAUCUUGAUAGAAAAUACAGCUCGUGUUCCACCAUAUUGCUAGAUAACAGCACAGUCAGCAAGCCCAAUCUCAGCCACAUACUAGAUAGAUAUGCGAAUAGAUCUCUGGCUAUUUUUGAUGAGCCAAUACAUCCAUUUUCACAAGAAAAGAUUCCAGGGAAUUCCUUUGAGGAUGAUCCCACAUGCAAAUGCAUUUUUGAUUAUUUAUUUCAUCUUUUUAUACACAUAGAACCAAAACUAAAUACUCAAUGUGUGAUCGUAGCAUUGGUAAGCUAUUUCUUAUCUGUAAAGCAUCUUUAAUAACUGGUCUCCUACACAGCAUAUGGCCCUAAAUAAAAGUCAGUUCCUAAAGUUAUCAUCAGAUCUUUUAAGAGAAACCUAUGCAAGCAAAGUAAAUACACAUCUUAGAGUUUAAUCAUCAUCAGGUUUUAAAAUGAUGCCAUUGCUUUUCUUAUCACAGAGUAAUUGCUACUAAAAGCAGCAAGAGAGACUUCUGGUUUCUCCCUCAACAGAUUCCAAUGUAGGUCUAGGAAGAGACAGCAGGGAGCCCGCCUGUGAGAGAAAUGAAGGAAAGAAUGGAAGAGAUGAGGCCGCACAGGCGGUGCCGUAGCUCACAGGGCCCUUUGGCUUGCAGAGCAGAGGAUGAAGUUAAGGUUUUAUUUCAGUUUGAAGCGGGGACUAAUGGUAGAUCUUGAGCAGGGGAGUGCAGUGUUCUUAAUUUAGAGGUUAUCCCAACUGCUUUGGGGAGAGUAGACCAUAGCUGGGAGGAGGGUUGGGGCAGAGAAGAGGACUAAGAAGCAACUAGGCUGUUACAGGUGAGCCGUGACACAUGGCAGCCCAGAAUCUGAUGCAGUCAGCCUACCAGUGAAGGUAGCCAUAGAGGGAUCGCACACGGAUUGGAGGAGGGUAACUCACAUGUAAGUAUUAGUCCCCAGGAGCUAGGCCAAUGGCAAUUCCCUGGACAAGAUUAGGGCCAGGUUGGGGAGUGGAGCCUUGGGGUGAAGGGCUCUGGUUUGUGGGUGUGAAGGCUCCAGGGACCUCAGCAAGAGG
rnacentral:lncRNA from 1 species